rnacentral:rRNA from 1 species
UACGUAGGGUGCGAGCGUUAAUCGGAAUUACUGGGCGUAAAGCGUGCGCAGGCGGCGCGUUAAGACAGGUGUGAAAGCCCUGGGCUUAACCUAGGAAUUGCGCUUGAGACUGGAUAGCUUGGAGUGCGGCAGAGGGAGGUGGAAUUCCACGUGUAGCAGUGAAAUGCGUAGAGAUGUGGAGGAACACCGAUGGCGAAGGCAGCCUCCUGGGCCAGCACUGACGCUCAUGCACGAAAGCGUGGGGAGCAAACAGG